UACGUAGGGUGCGAGCGUUAAUCGGAAUACUGGGCGUAAAGCGUGCGCAGGCGGUGAUGUAAGACAGUUGUGAAAUCCCCGGGCUCAACCUGGGAACUGCAUCUGUGACUGCAUCGCUGGAGUGCGGCAGAGGGGGGAUGGAAUUCCGCGUGUAGCAGUGAAAUGCGUAGAUAUGCGGAGGAACACCGAUGGCGAAGGCAAUCCCGUGGGCCUGCACUGACGCUGAGACGCGAAAGCGUGGGGAGCAAACAGGAUAG
rnacentral:rRNA from 1 species